UACGUAGGUGGCGAGCGUUGUCCGGAUUUACUGGGCGUAAAGAGCGCGCAGGCGGUCGUUCAAGUCGGAUGUGAAAGCCCCCGGCUCAACUGGGGAGGGUCAUUCGAUACUGAUCGACUCGAAGGCAGGAGAGGGAAGCGGAAUUCCCGGUGUAGUGGUGAAAUGCGUAGAUAUCGGGAGGAACACCAGUGGCGAAGGCGGCUUCCUGGCCUGUUCUUGACGCUGAGGCGCGGAAGCUAGGGGAGCAAACGGG
rnacentral:rRNA from 1 species